AAAAAAUGAAAAAAAUCUAGCAGCGAGUGGUUUCGAUCCACCGACCUCUGGGUUAUGGGCCCAGCACGCUUCCACUGCGCCACGCUGCUGU